rnacentral:tRNA from 1 species
GCGUCACUAGCUCAGUUGGAAGAGCACACGACCGAUAAUCGUGAGGUCCUUGGUUCGAUCCCAAGGUGACGCACCA